AUUGAACGCUGGCGGCAGGCCUAACACAUGUAAGUCGAGCGGAUGAAGGGAGCUUGCUCCUGGAUUCAGCGGCGGACGGGUGAGUAAUGCCUAGGAAUCUGCCUGGUAGUGGGGGAUAACGUCCGGAAACGGGCGCUAAUACCGCAUACGUCCUGAGGGAGAAAGUGGGGGAUCUUCGGACCUCACGCUAUCAGAAGAGCCUAGGUCGGAUUAGCUAGUUGGUGGGGUAAAGGCCUACCAAGGCGACGAUCCGUAACUGGUCUGAGAGGAUGAUCAGUCACACUGGAACUGAGACACGGUCCAGACUCCUACGGGAGGCAGCAGUGGGGAAUAUUGGACAAUGGGCGAAAGCCUGAUCCAGCCAUGCCGCGUGUGUGAAGAAGGUCUUCGGAUUGUAAAGCACUUUAAGUUGGGAGGAAGGGCAGUAAGUUAAUACCUUGCUGUUUUGACGUUACCAACAGAAUAAGCACCGGCUAACUUCGUG
rnacentral:rRNA from 1 species